AUACGGAGGAUCCGAGCGUUAUCCGGAUUUAUUGGGUUUAAAGGGAGCGUAGGCGGACGCUUAAGUCAGUUGUGAAAGUUUGCGGCUCAACCGUAAAAUUGCAGUUGAUACUGGGUGUCUUGAGUACAGUAGAGGCAGGUGGUAUUCUAGGGGUAGCGGGGAAAUGGUUAGAUAUCACGAAGAACUCCGAUUGCGAAGGCAGCCUGCUGGACUGUAACUGACGCUGAUGCUCGAAAGUGUGGGUAUCAAACAGGAUUAGAUACCCUGGUAGUCCACACAGUAAACGAUGAAUACUCGCUGUUUGCGAUAUACAGUAAGCGGCCAAGCGAAAGCGUUAAGUAUUCCACCUGGGGAGUACGCCGGCAACGGUUAAACUUAAAGGAAUUGACGGGG
rnacentral:rRNA from 1 species